CUCUCUUUCACUUUCCCAAACUGAACCGGCUGGGGGCGUGACUUUGAGUGAGGAUUAUUCAGUUACGUCACAGUCGUAACCCCCACAUCUAUCACUAUCUGAGACAUGCCUUGGAGGAGGCCUCUAGGCUGGCAGCAGGUCACGGCUGCUCAAAGGAAAUCUAAUUGCGCAGUUACCUCCUUCCUUCAAAUGAGACAGAAGCAGGAGGGACUGAAGAAGAAACGCUGUCCCUAUCCUUUCACCUUCCUAACAAUGGGAGGCAGAGCUACAGUCAGGGCUAGAUGGCUGGGGCUCUGUCUCAAGAUGCUGAAAUAUAAAGGGGACCAACAGCCUCAUCUCCUGACAUGCUUCCUCCCUUCCCUGGAGGCUGUACCUCAGCUGAGCUUCUUCCAUCCAGGACCCACAUUUCUGUGACGUAGAGUGCAUAGAAUCUGGGGAAGAAAAGAGGAAAGCAGGUGUCCAGACUCUACAUGGAGGUAUGACAACUAUCACAGAAGCGGCACUGGAGACAUUGGUGAUGAGCCUGCCUGUGUAUGCCUCAGGCAGCACCCACAAUCGACCACCUCUUCGAGAAACGAGAAGCAGGCUCCAUUGUUCUUCCGUCCCCUCUGAAGUCACAUAGUUUUGUCUCUGUCACUUCUCAGCUGUAUGGCCCUGGGUCCUUGCUGGGAAGCCUCUGAGAAAUGAGAGGCAGUGUGGUUCAGCAGUCAGAGCCCUGCCAGUGACCAGGAUUCAAGCCCUACCUAUGAAGCUCAGUCCCCCUGUGACCUUUCGGCAAAUCCCUUCCCCUCUCUAGGCCUCAUUUUCCUCAUUUGCACAAAUGUGAGGGGUCGGACUCUUCCAUUAACUUCCAGGCCCCUUUCAGCUCUGACAUUCUCUGAUGUUAAAAGGGUCCCUCGGGCCCCCAGGAUCAGCCCCGUAGAUAUCCAGCUUCCUCCCAGGUCAUCUCAGAGUUUCUCAGCAGCAGAAGCUGCCUCAGCUCCCCCCGUGACAUCCGGGGAGCCUGACCUUUUGCCUCUUUGCCUUCCCGCCUGACUUGAAUACAUCACACAGAGGCUGGAGAGCAGCCUGUCCUGUUUCCAGCCGGCACCAGACAGUAGGAGAGUGGCUUGGGCUGAGUUCAAGGACGAAUUCUCUGAUGGUGCUCGGUUGUUCGCUUUUGCAACAGACCACAGAGGAAGUUGUUACAUGCAGGGGCAUCUUCAGAAAUCAGACUGGCUCUAGGACAGUGUCCCAGCCUAUGCUAAGUAGAGGGACAGAUUCAGUUGGUUCAUUCAUUUAUUCAUUCAUUCACAACCAUUUAUUAAUCACCUACUAUAUAUACACUCAAAGUCCUUUGGAACCAGAUUCUCCCCCUAAGCCAAUUUUUAAAGGGAAAAAAUAGAUUGUAGAUUUUAGAAGUGGGAGGAGUGCUUGGCUUGGGGAGGGGGAGGGAGAAGGGAAGGGAACCAAGCUGUUCAUGCUGAUGCAGAAAGGGAGGACAGUUCAUCUUCCCCCUUAAAGCUCUCUCCUCUGUCCUCUGCCGGCUGGUGAUUCUUUUCAUGCCCCCCGCCAACAUCCAGACUGUCAUCAUCUCCAUCUCCUCUGUCAAUUUUCCUCCUGAUACCCUCCCCACCCUGCACCUCACCCCCUAGGCAGGCUGUUGUUAAAUCUUCUCGCUUCUUCCCCCAUAGUUACUUGGAAAUCUGCUCUUUUCUGGGCCUCCGCCCCCACCGUCAGUACCUCCAUCCCCCUCUCCCUUGUUCGGUCCUAGUUGGGUGGGUGACGCCCUCAGAGGUCUCCGCUGGCAGGCUCCGGGAGAAACUUCCUGCCCCAUCUUACCGCUUCUUCCCCUUGGCCCCUGUGGGGGGAGCCAGGAUUUAUCAGCGGGAGCCCUGCCUCCCCCAGUGCAAAUCACGACCCCUCGACACCUUCUCAUCCUGUGAGAUGCUUCUUUCCAUAAAUCCUCCAGAAGGGAUCCAUCCCAUGUGCUGGAGGCCCCUGGGACUAACCUCCCUGCUUCACAUCUGGCCCAAAUCCUCAACCCUGCAGACAACAGUGGUGGGAAGACCCGGAGCCCCCAGCCCCCCCUCCCCCAUCCUCCCCAAAUUCCACUAGGGCAUAGAUUCUGCUGCCUCUGGGCUUUCUCAACUCUUCAGGCACCAACAGGGCUGGAAAUAAGAGAGAGCUGAGGUGGGGCCCUGUUCCUUUAAAAAGGGCCGUCCUCGGCUGAUUUACAUGUGGCUGGUUUUAUACAUAAAUCUGCAUGUCAAGCUGGAGGCCCGGUGCCAGGUUUCACGUUUAUGUAACCUAGAAGUAAAUGAAAUAAAUUCCCUCCCUAUGGCAGGAGGUG